rnacentral:rRNA from 1 species
UGAGAGCUUCGGCAGGAUUUUUAUCUAUCUUAGUGGCGGACGGGUGAGUAACGUGUGGGCAACCUGCCUCAUACAGGGGGAUAACAGUUAGAAAUGACUGCUAAUACCGCAUAAGCGCACGGGACCGCAUGGUUUUGUGUGAAAAGCCGAGACGGUAUGAGAUGGACCCGCGUCUGAUUAGCUGGUUGGUGGGGUAACGGCCCACCAAGGCGACGAUCAGUAGCCGACCUGAGAGGGUGACCGGCCACAUUGGGACUGAGACACGGCCCAAACUCC